rnacentral:rRNA from 2 species
AUUAAUUUGAGAGUUUGAUCCUGGCUCAGGACGAACGCUGGCGGCGUGCCUAAUACAUGCAAGUCGAACGAACUCUGGUAUUGAUUGGUGCUUGCAUCAUGAUUUACAUUUGAGUGAGUGGCGAACUGGUGAGUAACACGUGGGAAACCUGCCCAGAAGCGGGGGAUAACACCUGGAAACAGAUGCUAAUACCGCAUAACAACUUGGACCGCAUGGUCCGAGUUUGAAAGAUGGCUUCGGCUAUCACUUUUGGAUGGUCCCGCGGCGUAUUAGCUAGAUGGUGAGGUAACGGCUCACCAUGGCAAUGAUACGUAGCCGACCUGAGAGGGUAAUCGGCCACAUUGGGACUGAGACACGGCCCAAACUCCUACGGGAGGCAGCAGUAGGGAAUCUUCCACAAUGGACGAAAGUCUGAUGGAGCAACGCCGCGUGAGUGAAGAAGGGUUUCGGCUCG